UACGUAGGGUGCGAGCGUUAAUCGGAAUUACUGGGCGUAAAGGGUGCGCAGGCGGUUCUGCAAGUCAGGCGUGAAAUCCCCGGGCUUAACCUGGGAAUGGCGCUUGAAACUACGGGACUGGAGUAUGGCAGAGGGAGGUGGAAUUCCACGUGUAGCGGUGAAAUGCGUAGAGAUGUGGAGGAACACCGGUGGCGAAGGCGGGUCUCUGGGCAACAACUGACGCUGAGGAGCGAAAGCGUGGGGAGCGAACAGG
rnacentral:rRNA from 1 species